AUUGAACGCUGGCGGCAGGCUUAACACAUGCAAGUCGAGCGGGGUGAUGGUGCUUGCACUAUCACUUAGCGGCGGACGGGUGAGUAAUGCUUAGGAAUCUGCCUAUUAGUGGGGGACAACAUCUCGAAAGGGAUGCUAAUACCGCAUCAGUCCUACGGGAGAAAGCAGGGGAUCACUUGUGACCUUGCGCUAAUAGAUGAGCCUAAGUCGGAUUAGCUAGUUGGUGGGGUAAAGGCCUACCAAGGCGACGAUCUGUAGCGGGUCUGAGAGGAUGAUCCGCCACACUGGGACUGAGACACGGCCCAGACUCCUACGGGAGGCAGCAGGUGGGAAUAUUGGACAAUGGGGGGAACCCUGAUCCAGCCAUGCCGCGUGUGUGAAGAAGGCCUUAUGGUUGUAAAGCACUUUAAGCGAGGAGGAGGCUCUUUUGGUUAAUACCCAAGAUGAGUGGACGUUACUCGCAGAAUAAGCACCGGCUAACUCUGUGCCAGCCGCCGCAGUAA
rnacentral:rRNA from 1 species